GGGAAGGUAGCUCAGUGGCAGAGCACUUGCCUUGCAUGCAUGAGGCCCUGGGUUUGAUUCCUCAGCACCA
rnacentral:tRNA from 1 species